rnacentral:misc_RNA from 1 species
CGCAAACUACUUAGGCGGAGUUGCUGGAGUUCUAAUAGAAUAAGUAAUUUUGUUUAGCUAUCCAACAAGAAGAUGUAACUUCAAAUCCUAUUAAGAUUGGAAUUCAUGAGAAUGAUAUGAAGAAGGCAACCUAUCACAGGUAGCCUUCAAUGUCAUAGUGAAAUCCAACAAGGAUGGCGGUUCAUCCACUAAAAUAUGCCUCUUGCAGUUAUGAAAACCUAACCUAUUCCUAAACCUAUGAAUAUCCUCCUAUUGAACGAGGUAUCUGACUUCUCUCAUCAAGCUUUUCCCUUUGAUUGCAGGCAUUGGACAUGCUGAGUCUCGGAAACCACUAGUCAUCAGUAACCAUUACAUAAUUUUCAAGAAAUGUUAACUUAAUUUUCAGGAGUAUGUCCAACCAAAAUUGAAAGGCAAAAAAGUUCAGUAAAUCAUGAUUAAAAUUAAACCCAAAAAAAAAUCAAGAAGAAUAGCAUCAACAACAUAGAAUUAAAGUGGUGCUUACAAGAGUCUCCCAAGAGCAUCAAU